rnacentral:rRNA from 1 species
AGUGAACGCUGGCGGUAGGCCUAACACAUGCAAGACGAACGGCAGCACAGGAGAGCUUGCUCUCUGGGUGGCGAGUGGCGGACGGGUGAGGAAUACAUCGGAAUCUACUUUUUCGUGGGGGAUAACGUAGGGAAACUUACGCUAAUACCGCAUACGACCUACGGGUGAAAGCAGGGGAUCUUCGGACCUUGCGCGAUUGAAUGAGCCGAUGUCGGAUUAGCUAGUUGGCGGGGGAAAGGCCCACCAAGGCGACGAUCCGUAGCUGGUCUGAGAGGAUGAUCAGCCACACUGGAACUGAGACACGAUCCAGACUCCUACGGGAGGCAGCAGUGGGGAAUAUUGGACAAUGGGCGCAAGCCUGAUUCAGCCAUACCGCGUGGGUGAAGAAGGCCUUCGGGUUGUAAAGCCCUUUUGUUGGGAAAGAAAUCCAGCUGGUUAAUACCCGGUUGGGAUGACGGUACCCAAAGAAUAAGCACCGGCUAACUUCGUGCCAGCAGCCGCGGUAA